rnacentral:rRNA from 1 species
UGAGGAAUAUUGGUCAAUGGGCGAGAGCCUGAACCAGCCAAGUCGCGUGAGGGAGUACUGCCCUAUGGGUUGUAAACCUCUUUUGUCGGGGAGCAAAAGCCGGACGUGUCCGUCUGUGAGAGUACCCGAAGAAAAAGCAUCGGCUAACUCCGUGCCAGCAGCCGCGGUAAUACGGAGGAUGCGAGCGUUAUCCGGAUUUAUUGGGUUUAAAGGGUGCGCAGGCGGAUUUUUAAGUCAGCGGUCAAAUCGUGGGGCUCAACCCCAUCCAGCCGUUGAAACUGGGGAUCUAGAGUGUGCGAGAGGUAUGCGGAAUGCGUGGUGUAGCGGUGAAAUGCAUAGAUAUCACGCAGAACCCCGAUUGCGAAGGCAGCAUACCGGUGCACAACUGACGCUCAGGCAC